CCGAAGUUAGGCAGAAUUGUCUUAUCACAUGAUGGGGGACCUGUAUCAUGUGAUGACUCCGGUGAUGUUGGAGGCAGCAUGUGACUCCCAGGGCUACGUGGGCUCAAAAACAAUUUAAAUACAAAAACACAAGCAGGUUCCCCUCCUCUCUUUUGCCUUUUGGUCUGGCUCUCCCUCCCUUUGGGCUGGUGCCCGACUGAAUGGAAAACCCGUCAUCUUGCAGGCACUAACCUGUGAGCACCGGGUACCUGGAGACCAGGCCCCCUCUGCUGGGGGUCCCCCAGGAGCUGUGCCCCAUCAUUCUGCAGCCCACUGACUCCCAGCCUGGUGUGAAAACUGAGGCCCAGAGAGGUGAUGUGAUUUGCCUAAAGUCAUGCAACUAGUGGCAGAGCCAGGCCUAGAAGCCAGGUGUCCUGGCUCUCACGACAUUCCGCUGCCCGAGGAAUGGAACAGGUAGUAUCACUCACGCUGGGGGCCGUGGGUCAGUCUGUCCAGCCCACUGCUGCCUGGGCUUCCAAUGAAGGAAGAAGCCAGAGCAGGGCUGUGGUGGCUGAGUUGAGAUGCAAGGAACAUUUCCAGCCUCUGGGAUGAAUAAGUGACAUCCCAAGCAAUGCAUUAGGACAGGGACUCAGGUGCAAGAGUGAAGGGAGAUGCCCUCAGAACCGGGUACCGGUUGCAGGAGCCCAGGUAGAAGUUGGGCCCUUCCUCAAACCUGAAAUAACAGCCAGAGGGACUGAGCUCCUGAACCGUUCAAUCUCUCCGGGUUAAGAAUCCGCCCCACUGAUGAGAACCAUACAAGCCGGUCUAUAAAGUAGAAUGCCUUCACGGUUGUCAUGACACUGUGGUUCCAGAGAAUCCUUGUUUCUUGAAUUAACCCAGAUAUUCACUCUAUAACUCAGGGCAUGGUUUUCUUAGCAAGACUGUUGAUUAGGACAGACAUGGAGUCCUUAUCCGCAUUCUACCUGACUUCUCUGCGGUUUCUUUCGGCUACCACCCGCCUCCGUCAUUCACUCUCGUUCCAUACUCAGGCCCCUUUCCGCCUUCCUGCCUUCCGUCCUUCUUGCUUACUGCCUAUUUGGAGGCUUCCCUAACCCUUCAGACUUGAUGCUUGACUCCACCUUCACCCGAUUCAGCAUCUUCCUCUGGCUCUACUUCUGUAAUGGACAUUGUGUUGGUUUCUCCAACAUCCAUCCAUCCCAUGCCCCUAGCAGCAGCAAUACAGUUUGGGGAAUUAAAAAGGCCUGGUCCACACACUGCCACUGGCACCAUGUUGAUUUCCACUUCCAGACAAUCCUGUCUCUUCACUACUUACUCUAGAAUCGAAGUUCCAGGAGUAAGCAUCUGAUCACCCAGGUUCAUGGCUACCUCUUUGGACCUGGCUCCUUCUGACUCCACAGUAGGAGUUUCGAGAGGAGGCCAGUGCCUUAAUCGCCCUCAGGUUCAAUCCCAGAGAGUAAUUCCCCCAGAGGGGAUCUGGCACUAGUAAGGGAGGGAUUCUAGAUCAGUGCUGUUCAAAUAGAAUAGUAAUGCAAGCCACACAUAUAAUUUAAAAUCUUCUAGUAACCACAUUUAAAAAGGUAGGAACAGGUGAAAUCAAUUUUAAUGGUACAUUUUACUUCACCCAAUAUUUCCAAAAAUCCAUCAUAUCAACAUGUGUUCAAUAUUUAAAAAAUCGUUACUAAGAUAUGUUCCUUUUUGGUUUUGUUGUUAGAAGUCUUUGGAACCCAGGGUGUAUUUUGAUACUCACAGCACAACUCAAUCUGGAUGCUAAAUUUUUAUUGGAAAUACUUGAUCCAUAUUUAUAUUUACAGCUGAAAAAGUCAAAUCACAUACUCAAGCUGUUCCAAGCAUACUUAAAAGUUUUCCAAUUACUGGAUCAAGUACCAAAAAAAAAAAAAAAAAAAAAAAGUUUUCCCUUAAUAUCCACUUCCACAUCGACAAAAUAAAUUCAUCUUUACUUGAACUAUUGUUUGUAGCAAAAGCAGAUCAGGGUCAGAGUUAAGUCUAUCCAAGUUAUGUGACUUCACAGACUCACGUCAACACAGUAUUAACAUGGGACAUAAAGGGGGUGUUGCAUACAUUGAAAAGUAACUGUAAGUUCACCAAUGCCAGCAAAACAUUCUUCAAAUUUUUCAUGUAGGUUUUGCAGAUAAUUUACAUAAUGCUGGUUAUUACAAUUAAAAAUCUUUUGCACAUAUUUGUAUUAUAAAAUGUGUUAAGUCAUUGCAUAAAUCAUUGAUAUAUAUUAUAAGAAACUUCCAUGUCAAUGUAAAUUCUUGUAGCCUUCUAGCCAGGUGGUAAGUAAGUUUUUUGUCCCCUUAGAGCUUCAAAUUUAUCUCAUUCAUAUAUACUGUGAUAUCAGUGAGAAAGCAUAAAUCACACUGCCAUGUUUGGUCUUUGAUUAUUAAAUAUUUGGUAAAAAUUCCUUUGCUUUCAAGCAAAUCUUUUUUUUAAGUUUAUGUAUUUAUUUUGGGAAAGAGAGAGAAAGCCUGAGUGGAGAAGGGGCUGAGAGAGAAUCCCAAGCAGGCUCUGCACUGACAGCGUGGAGCCCAACGCGGGGCUCAAAACCAAGAAACGUGAGAUCAGCUCUGAGCUGAAGUCAGACGCUUAACCAACUGAGCCACCCAGGUUCCCCUGAAGCAGAUCACUUGGAAUUCACAGCACAGUAAAUCUUUGUAAAACUCUUCUGUGACCCAGCGGAUGAACAUAGAUAGAGAGACAAGAUCAUCACAUUUAUUGCUUUCUAUUCCUGUCCAUAAGCUGGUGAUUCACAGCAUUUGAAUGUAUACACUGAACAAUUUUAACAGCUAUAUCCACGAUACUUUCUGCAGAGUCUACUUCUGAAAACGAACACAAAUAUUUUCAACAUAUGUCAGACGGUGGAAUGAAGCAAUAAGGGAAACAUCAGUCUCCUGUUUUGAAAUUACAAUAAAUCCAGAUUUUUUUCUUUUACUGAACAUAGCUGGAGCACCAUCUGGCAUGAGAGAAACUAAUUUUUUUCAUAUCUAACUGAAUUUCUUCUUUGUCAUAUGUAAAAAAAAAUUGUUUUUAAUCUGUGCCACAGUUUAUUUUUUUAAGCAAUGAAUUGAAACUAAGGGCGUCUGACUCUUGGUUUUGGUUCAGGUCACAGUCUCACUGUUUGUGGGUUCAAGCCCUGCAUCAGGCUCUGUGCUGACAGCCUGGAGCCUGCUUGCGAUUCUCUCUCUCCCUCUCUCUCUGCCCCUCCCUUGCUCGCUCUCUGUCUCUCUCAAAAAUAAAUAAAAUAAAUAAAUAAAUAAAUAAAUAAAUAAAUA